GACGAACGCUGGCGGCGUGCUUAACACAUGCAGGUCGAACGGAAAGGCCCUGCUUUUGUGGGGUGCUCGAGUGGCGAACGGGUGAGUAACACGUGAGUAACCUGCCCUUGACUUUGGGAUAACUUCAGGAAACUGGGGCUAAUACCGGAUAGGAGCUCCUGCUGCAUGGUGGGGGUUGGAAAGUUUCGGCGGUUGGGGAUGGACUCGCGGCUUAUCAGCUUGUUGGUGGGGUAGUGGCUUACCAAGGCUUUGACGGGUAGCCGGCCUGAGAGGGUGACCGGCCAUUGGGGGACGGAUAUGGGCCCGAGACCCCUGGGGGGGGCAGGGGGGGGGAAUAUCGCACAGGGGGGGGGCGUGUGACGCAGCAGCCCGGUGGGGGGUGUGGGGGCUUGGGGUUUGAAAACCGUUUGCGCGUGAGGAAGCGUGGGGGAGGGGAUAAGGGGAAAAAAAGCCCCGGAAAACUGC
rnacentral:rRNA from 1 species